rnacentral:rRNA from 1 species
UACGGAGGGUGCGAGCGUUGUCCGGAAUCAUUGGGCGUAAAGGGCGCGUAGGUGGCCCGGUCAGUUCGUGGUGAAAGCGCGGGGCUCAACCCUGCGUCGGCCAUGAAUACUGCCGCGGCUGGAGCACUGUGGAGGCAGGCGGAAUUCCGGGUGUAGCGGUGGAAUGCGUAAAGAUCCGGAAGAACACCGGUGGCGAAGGCGGCCUGCUGGGCAGUUGCUGACACUGAGGCGCGACAGCGUGGGGAGCAAACAGG